GUUAUAUUCUACUAUUGGGUUUAUAACUGACUGAAAGAUUUCACUAAGAAUAUGGCAUAAUUUUAAAAGGCAAAUUAAAAUAACAGUGAAUGAAGAGUUCAGCAGUCAGAUUGGCCAAAUUAUAAAGGUCUAUAAGAACAGAAUUCGAUGGAAAGAAUGAAUAUUCUACAGGAAAUGUUCAAGGAAGUAAGCAGGCUGAGUGGGUUGGAAGAUGCAAACCAGUCUUAUCUGAAAAUUUUGUCUGUUAUCUUAAGAAUAUUUCAAUAAUUAUCUCUCUGCAUGAUUAUUUUCUCUUCUGGAUGUCAAUUCCAUUUCUUUGGAGAAUAACCUCCAUUUAUUGAAUGUUAGCAGUCAUCACUAAUAGGGAAAUGAAAUUGAAACCACAGUGAGAUACCACCUCAUACUGAGUAGGAUGAGUACUGUUGAAAAAACUCCUGAAAUAACAAGUGUUAGCAAGGAUGUGGAGACUUUGGAACCCUGGUGCACUGUUGAUGGGAAUGUAAAAUGGUACAGCUGCUGUAUAGUGUUUCUUCAAAAAAUUAAAAAUAGAAUUAUCAUAUGAUCCAGCAGAUCCACUUCUGGAUAUGUAUUCAGAAGAAUUGAAAGCAGAGUCUCAAAGAGAUAUUUGUAUAUCCAUGUUCAAAUUCAAAGCAGCAUUAUUUAUAAUAGCUCAAAUGUGGAAGCAACCCAAGUGUUCAUUGACUAAUGAAUGGAUAAAGA